AAACCAACAGGGAUUGCCCCAGUAACGGCGAGUGAAGCGGCAAUAGCUCAAAUUUGAAAUCUGGCCCCCUCGGGGUCCGAGUUGUAAUUUGCAGAGGAUGCUUCUGGCGCGGCGCCUUCCGAGUUCCCUGGAACGGGACGCCACAGAGGGUGAGAGCCCCGUCCGGUCGGCCGCCAAGCCUCUGUGAAGCACCUUCGACGAGUCGGGUAGUUUGGGAAUGCUGCUCAAAAUGGGAGGUAUAUGUCUUCUAAAGCUAAAUACCGGCCAGAGACCGAUAGCGCACAAGUAGAGUGAUCGAAAGAUGAAAAGCACUUUGAAAAGAGGGUUAAACAGUACGUGAAAUUGUUGAAAGGGAAGCGCUCGUGACCAGACUUGGGCCUCGCGGAUCACCCGGCGUUCGCUCGCCGGGGCACUCCGCGGGUGCGCAGGCCAGCAUCGGUUCGCCGGCGGGGGACAAAGGCGGCGGGAACGUGGCUCCCCCUCAUAGGAGUGUUAUAGCCCGCCGCGCAAUGCCCUGCCGUGGACCGAGGUUCGCGCUUCCGCAAGGAUGCUGGCGUAAUGGUCACCAGCGACCCGUCUU
rnacentral:rRNA from 1 species